rnacentral:rRNA from 1 species
GGCUCAGUAACGCGUAGUCAACCUACCCUAUGGGCGGGAAUAACCUCGGGAAACUGAGUAUAAUGCCCGAUAGAACAUUAUGCCUGGAAGGGUUUAUGUUCCAAAUGAUUUAUCGCCGUAGGAUGGGACUGCGGCCUAUCAGUUUGUUGGUGAGGUAAUGGCCCACCAAGACUAUUACAGGUACGGGCUCUGAGAGGAGUAGCCCGGAGAUGGGUACUGAGACACGGACCCAGGCCCUAUGGGGCGCAGCAGGCGAGAAAACUUUGCAAUGUGCGAAAGCACGACAAGGUUAAUCCGAGUGGUUUCUGCUA